AUACUUACUUGGCAGGUGUGGUACCACGAUAUUGAAGAUGAUUUUACCAGUGUGUGGUUUAUUCAUUGUAAACCAUAUGAUCCCCAACAUUUCUUCACAUGCAGAAAAUUAAACUGCAUAAUUUGUUGUCGUAGGGAAUUGCGUUUGCAUUUCCCCUGG